AAAAAUUGUUAACAAAUCGUAUAUUGGUAAAAUAGCUGCUCGUGCUUUACUGUAGCUAGGUAGCUAGAUACCUACGAUAAGUGGUCGAAUCAUAACAGUGCAGAAGGAUGUUUUUAGUAUAUAUUUUCGCUUCUAGCCGCGCAAUCAAUGCCUUUCUUUCCAAGCAAGAUGUACUUCUGUUUGGCUCUCAUCGGCGGGGAAAAGAGUAUACUAUCAGCUUACGGCGUGAGUGACAAGAAAUAACGCUGAUUGUGGCUUCACUGCUUUCGAUCAGGGAGGAGGAGAAUACUGUGCAUAUACCGGGAAGGAGAUUAUCAGAUCCAGAAGAUCCGGAAAGGAAUGUUACAAGUAAUUUGUUUUGCAUAAAGGCUAGAGCAAAAGGAGGUUGACAAUGAUUGCAACAGGAAAGUCACCAGUUGCGUUGGAUGUUCUAAUCAAGGGAAAUCCCAAGCACCGAAUUUUUGUUUUAUGUUUUGGCAAUUUUUGGCACCGUGGCAAUACUGCUGAUAUUUGAGAUAAAAAUUAGAUUAGGAGAGUGCACUAUUUUUCACGAAUAUAUAUUUGUUUAAUUUUU